AGAACUUUACACAAUACCACCGUCCCAUACUUGGUUUUUGCUAAACCAAGAAAUCAACCUCACUCUCCAGGGAUCCACCGGCCAGGCAAAUCAGGUGUUAGUCCCACAUUUCGAGAGGAUCCGUAUCAACAUCCUCUCACAAAGACCGACAGAGAGAGAUCUAGACCACCACAUCUCCAUCAUGUCAGCGCCAUUGGAAAACCCAAAUGAAGAUUUGGGACUUGGAUGGGACAUAGAGAGCCUUGCAGAUCUCAACAUAGGAGAAGAGAGUGUUUCCCGCAGUGCCCAGCCAAACAUCCCGCUCAACAUUCCACUUAACAUCCUCUUCUUCAACACUGAGGGUGUCGCUCGCCCUAACUUCCUCCAACACUACAUGCACCUACACUCUAGCAGACGCUUCCACCUCGUCAUCAUCACAAACAC